UUAAGCGACUAAGCGUACACGGUGGAUGCCCUGGCAGUCAGAGGCGAUGAAGGACGUGCUAAUCUGCGAUAAGCGUCGGUGAGGUGAUAUGAACCGUUAUAACCGGCGAUUUCCGAAUGGGGAAACCCAGUGUGAUUCGUCACACUAUCAUUAACUGAAUCCAUAGGUUAAUGAGGCGAACCGGGGGAACUGAAACAUCUAAGUACCCCGAGGAAAAGAAAUCAACCGAGAUUCCCCCAGUAGCGGCGAGCGAACGGGGAGGAGCCCAGAGCCUGAAUCAGUGUGUGUGUUAGUGGAAGCGUCUGGAAAGGCGCGCGAUACAGGGUGACAGCCCCGUACACAAAAAUGCACAUAUUGUGAGCUCGAUGAGUAGGGCGGGACACGUGGUAUCCUGUCUGAAUAUGGGGGGACCAUCCUCCAAGGCUAAAUACUCCUGACUGACCGAUAGUGAACCAGUACCGUGAGGGAAAGGCGAAAAGAACCCCGGCGAGGGGAGUGAAAAAGAACCUGAAACCGUGUACGUACAAGCAGUGGGAGCCUCUUAAUGGGGUGACUGCGUACCUUUUGUAUAAUGGGUCAGCGACUUAUAUUCUGUAGCAAGGUUAACCGAAUAGGGGAGCCGAAGGGAAACCGAGUCUUAACUGGGCGUUAAGUUGCAGGGUAUAGACCCGAAACCCGGUGAUCUAGCCAUGGGCAGGUUGAAGGUUGGGUAACACUAACUGGAGGACCGAACCGACUAAUGUUGAAAAAUUAGCGGAUGACUUGUGGCUGGGGGUGAAAGGCCAAUCAAACCGGGAGAUAGCUGGUUCUCCCCGAAAGCUAUUUAGGUAGCGCCUCGUGAAUUCAUCUCCGGGGGUAGAGCACUGUUUCGGCAAGGGGGUCAUCCCGACUUACCAACCCGAUGCAAACUGCGAAUACCGGAGAAUGUUAUCACGGGAGACACACGGCGGGUGCUAACGUCCGUCGUGAAGAGGGAAACAACCCAGACCGCCAGCUAAGGUCCCAAAGUCAUGGUUAAGUGGGAAACGAUGUGGGAAGGCCCAGACAGCCAGGAUGUUGGCUUAGAAGCAGCCAUCAUUUAAAGAAAGCGUAAUAGCUCACUGGUCGAGUCGGCCUGCGCGGAAGAUGUAACGGGGCUAAACCAUGCACCGAAGCUGCGGCAGCGACACUAUGUGUUGUUGGGUAGGGGAGCGUUCUGUAAGCCUGUGAAGGUGGCCUGUGAGGGUUGCUGGAGGUAUCAGAAGUGCGAAUGCUGACAUAAGUAACGAUAAAGCGGGUGAAAAGUCCGCUCGCCGGAAGACCAAGGGUUCCUGUCCAACGUUAAUCGGGGCAGGGUGAGUCGACCCCUAAGGCGAGGCCGAAAGGCGUAGUCGAUGGGAAACAGGUUAAUAUUCCUGUACUUGGUGUUACUGCGAAGGGGGACGGAGAAGGCUAUGUUGGCCGGGCGACGGUUGUCCCGGUUUAAGCGUGUAGGCUGGUUUUCCAGGCAAAUCCGGAAAAUCAAGGCUGAGGCGUGAUGACGAGGCACUACGGUGCUGAAGCGACAAAUGCCCUGCUUCCAGGAAAAGCCUCUAAGCAUCAGGUAACAUCAAAUCGUACCCCAAACCGACACAGGUGGUCAGGUAGAGAAUACCAAGGCGCUUGAGAGAACUCGGGUGAAGGAACUAGGCAAAAUGGUGCCGUAACUUCGGGAGAAGGCACGCUGAUAUGUAGGUGAAGCGACUUGCUCGUGGAGCUGAAAUCAGUCGAAGAUACCAGCUGGCUGCAACUGUUUAUUAAAAACACAGCACUGUGCAAACACGAAAGUGGACGUAUACGGUGUGACGCCUGCCCGGUGCCGGAAGGUUAAUUGAUGGGGUUAGCGGUAACGCGAAGCUCUUGAUCGAAGCCCCGGUAAACGGCGGCCGUAACUAUAACGGUCCUAAGGUAGCGAAAUUCCUUGUCGGGUAAGUUCCGACCUGCACGAAUGGCGUAAUGAUGGCCAGGCUGUCUCCACCCGAGACUCAGUGAAAUUGAACUCGCUGUGAAGAUGCAGUGUACCCGCGGCAAGACGGAAAGACCCCGUGAACCUUUACUAUAGCUUGACACUGAACAUUGAGCCUUGAUGUGUAGGAUAGGUGGGAGGCUUUGAAGUGUGGACGCCAGUCUGCAUGGAGCCGACCUUGAAAUACCACCCUUUAAUGUUUGAUGUUCUAACGUGGGCCCCUUACCGGGGGUGCGGACAGUGUCUGGUGGGUAGUUUGACUGGGGCGGUCUCCUCCUAAAGAGUAACGGAGGAGCACGAAGGUUGGCUAAUCCUGGUCGGACAUCAGGAGGUUAGUGCAAUGGCAUAAGCCAGCUUGACUGCGAGCGUGACGGCGCGAGCAGGUGCGAAAGCAGGUCAUAGUGAUCCGGUGGUUCUGAAUGGAAGGGCCAUCGCUCAACGGAUAAAAGGUACUCCGGGGAUAACAGGCUGAUACCGCCCAAGAGUUCAUAUCGACGGCGGUGUUUGGCACCUCGAUGUCGGCUCAUCACAUCCUGGGGCUGAAGUAGGUCCCAAGGGUAUGGCUGUUCGCCAUUUAAAGUGGUACGCGAGCUGGGUUUAGAACGUCGUGAGACAGUUCGGUCCCUAUCUGCCGUGGGCGCUGGAGAACUGAGGGGGGCUGCUCCUAGUACGAGAGGACCGGAGUGGACGCAUCACUGGUGUUCGGGUUGUCAUGCCAAUGGCACUGCCCGGUAGCUAAAUGCGGAAGAGAUAAGUGCUGAAAGCAUCUAAGCACGAAACUUGCCCCGAGAUGAGUUCUCCCUGACUCCUUGAGAGUCCUGAAGGAACGUUGAAGACGACGACGUUGAUAGGCCGGGUGUGUAAGCGCAGCGAUGCGUUGAGCUAACCGGUACUAAUGAACCGUGAGGCUUAACCUU
rnacentral:rRNA from 1 species